GAUGAACGCUGGCGGCGUGCCUAAUACAUGCAAGUCGGGCGAAUGGAUUAAGAGCUUGCUCUUAUGAAGUUAGCGGCGGACGGGUGAGUAACACGUGGGUAACCUGCCCAUAAGACUGGGAUAACUCCGGGAAACCGGGGCUAAUACCGGAUAACAUUUUGAACCGCAUGGUUCGAAAUUGAAAGGCGGCUUCGGCUGUCACUUAUGGAUGGACCCGCGUCGCAUUAGCUAGUUGGGGAGGUAACGGCUCACCAAGGCAACGAUGCGUAGCCGACCGGAGAGGGUGAGCGGCCACGCUGGGACUGAGACACGGCCCAGACUCCUAAGGGAGGCAGCAGUAGGGAAUCUUCCGCAAUGGACGAAAGUCUGACGGAGCAACGCCGCGUGAGUGAUGAAGGCUUUCGGGUCGUAAAACUCUGUUGUUAGGGAAGAACAAGUGCUAGUUGAAUAAGCUGGCACCUUGACGUUACCUAACCAGAAAGCCACGGCUAACUACGUGCCAGCCGCCGCGGUAA
rnacentral:rRNA from 1 species